GGUUAAGCGACUAAGCGUACACGGUGGAUGCCCUGGCAGUCAGAGGCGAUGAAGGACGUGCUAAUCUGCGAAAAGCGUCGGUAAGGUGAUAUGAACCGUUAUAACCGGCGAUGUCCGAAUGGGGAAACCCAGUGCAAUUCGUUGCACUAUCGUUAACUGAAUACAUAGGUUAACGAGGCGAACCGGGGGAACUGAAACAUCUAAGUACCCCGAGGAAAAGAAAUCAACCGAGAUUCCCCCAGUAGCGGCGAGCGAACGGGGAGCAGCCCAGAGUCUGAAUCAGCUUGUGUGUUAGUGGAACGGUCUGGAAAGUCCGACGGUACAGGGUGAUAGUCCCGUACACCAAAAUGCACAGGCUGUGAACUCGAAGAGUAGGGCGGGACACGUGGUAUCCUGUCUGAAUAUGGGGGGACCAUCCUCCAAGGCUAAAUACUCCUGACUGACCGAUAGUGAACCAGUACCGUGAGGGAAAGGCGAAAAGAACCCCGGCGAGGGGAGUGAAAAAGAACCUGAAACCGUGUACGUACAAGCAGUGGGAGCACCUUCGGGUGUGACUGCGUACCUUUUGUAUAAUGGGUCAGCGACUUAUAUUCUGUAGCAAGGUUAACCGUAUAGGGGAGCCGCAGGGAAACCGAGUCUUAACUGGGCGUUAAGUUGCAGGGUAUAGACCCGAAACCCGGUGAUCUAGCCAUGGGCAGGUUGAAGGUUGGGUAACACUAACUGGAGGACCGAACCGACUAAUGUUGAAAAAUUAGCGGAUGACUUGUGGCUGGGGGUGAAAGGCCAAUCAAACCGGGAGAUAGCUGGUUCUCCCCGAAAGCUAUUUAGGUAGCGCCUCGUGAACUCAUCUUCGGGGGUAGAGCACUGUUUCGGCUAGGGGGUCAUCCCGACUUACCAACCCGAUGCAAACUACGAAUACCGAAGAAUGUUAUCACGGGAGACACACGGCGGGUGCUAACGUCCGUCGUGAAGAGGGAAACAACCCAGACCGCCAGCUAAGGUCCCAAAGUCAUGGUUAAGUGGGAAACGAUGUGGGAAGGCACAGACAGCCAGGAUGUUGGCUUAGAAGCAGCCAUCAUUUAAAGAAAGCGUAAUAGCUCACUGGUCGAGUCGGCCUGCGCGGAAGAUGUAACGGGGCUAAACCAUGCACCGAAGCUGCGGCAGCGACACUAUGUGUUGUUGGGUAGGGGAGCGUUCUGUAAGCCUGCGAAGGUGNGCUGUGAGGCNUGCUGGAGGUAUCAGAAGUGCGAAUGCUGACAUAAGUAACGAUAAAGCGGGUGAAAAGCCCGCUCGCCGGAAGACCAAGGGUUCCUGUCCAACGUUAAUCGGGGCAGGGUGAGUCGACCCCUAAGGCGAGGCCGAAAGGCGUAGUCGAUGGGAAACAGGUUAAUAUUCCUGUACUUGGUGUUACUGCGAAGGGGGGACGGAGAAGGCUAUGUUAGCCGGGCGACGGUUGUCCCGGUUUAAGCAUGUAGGCUGAUUGUCCAGGCAAAUCCGGAUAAUCAAGGCUGAGGUGUGAUGACGAGGCACUACGGUGCUGAAGUAACAAAUGCCCUGCUUCCAGGAAAAGCCUCUAAGCAUCAGGUAACAUCAAAUCGUACCCCAAACCGACACAGGUGGUCAGGUAGAGAAUACCAAGGCGCUUGAGAGAACUCGGGUGAAGGAACUAGGCAAAAUGGUGCCGUAACUUCGGGAGAAGGCACGCUGGUGUGUAGGUGAAGUCCCUGCGGAUGGAGCUGAGACCAGUCGAAGAUACCAGCUGGCUGCAACUGUUUAUUAAAAACACAGCACUGUGCAAACACGAAAGUGGACGUAUACGGUGUGACGCCUGCCCGGUGCCGGAAGGUUAAUUGAUGGGGUUAUCCGUAAGGAGAAGCUCUUGAUCGAAGCCCCGGUAAACGGCGGCCGUAACUAUAACGGUCCUAAGGUAGCGAAAUUCCUUGUCGGGUAAGUUCCGACCUGCACGAAUGGCGUAAUGAUGGCCAGGCUGUCUCCACCCGAGACUCAGUGAAAUUGAACUCGCUGUGAAGAUGCAGUGUACCCGCGGCAAGACGGAAAGACCCCGUGAACCUUUACUAUAGCUUGACACUGAACAUUGAGCCUUGAUGUGUAGGAUAGGUGGGAGGCUUUGAAGCGUGGACGCCAGUCUGCGUGGAGCCAACCUUGAAAUACCACCCUUUAAUGUUUGAUGUUCUAACGUUGGCCCCUNACCGGGGUUGCGGACAGUGUCUGGUGGGUAGUUUGACUGGGGCGGUCUCCUCCCAAAGCGUAACGGAGGAGCACGAAGGUUAGCUAAUCCUGGUCGGACAUCAGGAGGUUAGUGCAAUGGCAUAAGCUAGCUUGACUGCGAGCGUGACGGCGCGAGCAGGUGCGAAAGCAGGUCAUAGUGAUCCGGUGGUUCUGAAUGGAAGGGCCAUCGCUCAACGGAUAAAAGGUACUCCGGGGAUAACAGGCUGAUACCGCCCAAGAGUUCAUAUCGACGGCGGUGUUUGGCACCUCGAUGUCGGCUCAUCACAUCCUGGGGCUGAAGUAGGUCCCAAGGGUAUGGCUGUUCGCCAUUUAAAGUGGUACGCGAGCUGGGUUUAGAACGUCGUGAGACAGUUCGGUCCCUAUCUGCCGUGGGCGCUGGAGAAUUGAGGGGGGCUGCUCCUAGUACGAGAGGACCGGAGUGGACGCAUCACUGGUGUUCGGGUUGUCAUGCCAAUGGCACUGCCCGGUAGCUAAAUGCGGAAGAGAUAAGUGCUGAAAGCAUCUAAGCACGAAACUUGCCCCGAGAUGAGUUCUCCCUGAGACUUUAAGUCUCCUGAAGGAACGUUANGACGAUGACGUUGAUAGGCCGGGUGUGUAAGCGCAGCGAUGCGUUGAGCUAACCGGUACUAAUGAACCGUGAGGCUUAACCUU
rnacentral:rRNA from 1 species